GACAGAGGGUGCAAGCGUUGUUCGGAAUUACUGGGCGUAAAGCGCGUGUAGGCGGUAAGGUGUGUCCGGUGUGAAAGCCCUCGGCUUAACCGGGGAACUGCGCUGGAAACUACCUUACUAGAGUAUGAGAGAGGGUGGCGGAAUUCCUAGUGUAGAGGUGAAAUUCGUAGAUACUAGGAGGAAUAUCUGUGGCAAAGGCGGCCACCUGGACCAUCACUGACGCUGAGACGCGAAAGCGUGGGUAGCAAACAGG
rnacentral:rRNA from 1 species